rnacentral:misc_RNA from 2 species
CAACCCUCAGGCCCCCAGUGCCUGGCGUUGGGGAUCGGCGCGGGCCCCGCCUCCGUCCUCCGGGACGGGCGCGGGUCGCCUGCCGGCCCCGAAAUUCAGUGGCGGUCUCGCUGUAGUCCCCCUCUGCGUAGUAGCACAACUCGCAUUGGAGCUCGGCGGUGGCCAUGCCGUAAAACACCCCACUUCUGAA